UACGAAGGGGGCUAGCGUUGCUCGGAAUCACUGGGCGUAAAGCGCACGUAGGCGGAUCUUUAAGUCAGGGGUGAAAUCCCGAGGCUCAACCUCGGAACUGCCUUUGAUACUGGGGAUCUCGAGUCCGGAAGAGGUUGGUGGAACUCCGAGUGUAGAGGUGAAAUUCGUAGAUAUUCGGAAGAACACCAGUGGCGAAGGCGGCCAACUGGUCCGGUACUGGACGCUGAGGUGCGAAAGCGUGGGGAGCAAACAGGG
rnacentral:rRNA from 1 species